rnacentral:rRNA from 1 species
AUUCCAGCUCCAAUAGCGAAUACUAAUUCUGCUGCAGUUAAAAAGCUCGUAGUUGAACUUCUGGUAGGACAGAUCCGGCCUUUGGAUGAAUGUCCAUUGUAUGCUGUGUGUCUUGUCUGGCCAUCCUUUAUGUCUUUUAGGCGUAAUCUUUCACUGUAAAAAAAUUAGGGUGUUUCAAGCAAAAGUUAUUUGGAAUAUAUUAGUAUGGGAUGAUAAGAUAGGCUCUUGAGUGCUACUUUGUUGGUUUAUACACUUAGAGAAUGAUUAAUAGGGACAGUCGGGGGCAUUUGUAUUCAAACGACAGAGGUGAAAUUCUUGGACCGUUUGAGGACAAACUACUGCGAAAGCAUUUGCCAAGAAUGUUUUCAUCA